UGGGGAAUAUUGGGCAAUGGGCGAAAGCCUGACCCAGCAACGCCGCGUGAAGGAAGAAGGCCUUCGGGUUGUAAACUUCUUUUACCAGGGACGAACACAAUGACGGUACCUGGAGAAAAAGCAACGGCUAACUACGUGCCAGCAGCCGCGGUAAUACGUAGGUUGCAAGCGUUGUCCGGAAUUACUGGGUGUAAAGGGCGUGUAGGCGGAGAUGCAAGUUGGGAGUGAAAUCCAUGGGCUCAACCCAUGAACUGCUUUCAAAACUGCAUCCCUUGAGUAUCGGAGAGGCAAGCGGAAUUCCUAGUGUAGCGGUGAAAUGCGUAGAUAUUAGGAGGAACACCAGUGGCGAAGGCGGCUUGCUGGACGACAACUGACGCUGAGGCGCGAAAGCGUGGGGAGCAAACAGG
rnacentral:rRNA from 2 species